ACACUCCUGCGGGAGGCAGCAGUGGGGAAUUUUGGACAAUGGGGGCAACCCUGAUCCAGCAAUGCCGCGUGAGUGAAGAAGGCCUUCGGGUUGUAAAGCUCUUUUGUCAGGGAAGAAACGGUGGUGGCGAAUAACUACUACUAAUGACGGUACCUGAAGAAUAAGCACCGGCUAACUACGUGCCAGCAGCCGCGGUAAUACGUAGGGUGCAAGCGUUAAUCGGAAUUACUGGGCGUAAAGCGUGCGCAGGCGGUUGUGUAAGUCAGAUGUGAAAUCCCCGGGCUCAACCUGGGAAUUGCAUUUGAGACUGCACGGCUAGAGUGUGUCAGAGGGGGGUAGAAUUCCACGUGUAGCAGUGAAAUGCGUAGAUAUGUGGAGGAAUACCGAUGGCGAAGGCAGCCCCCUGGGAUAACACUGACGCUCAUGCACGAAAGCGUGGGAAGCAAACAGGAUUAGAAACCCCAGUAGUCCCAUGA
rnacentral:rRNA from 1 species